AUUGAACGCUGGCGGCAUGCUUUACACAUGCAAGUCGAACGGCAGCGCGGGCUUCGGCCUGGCGGCGAGUGGCGAACGGGUGAGUAAUACAUCGGAACGUGCCCAGUAGUGGGGGAUAGCUCGGCGAAAGCCGGAUUAAUACCGCAUACGACCUGAGGGUGAAAGCGGGGGAUCUUCGGACCUCUCGCUAUUGGAGCGGCCGAUGGCAGAUUAGCUAGUUGGUGGGGUAAAGGCCUACCAAGGCGACGAUCUGUAGCUGGUCUGAGAGGACGACCAGCCACACUGGGACUGAGACACGGCCCAGACUCCUACGGGAGGCAGCAGUGGGGAACUUUGGACAAUGGGCGAAAGCCUGAUCCAGCGAUGCCGCGUGUGUGAUGAAGGCCUUCGGGUUGUAAAGCACUUUUGGCGGGAACGAAAAGGACUGUGCCAAUACCACGGUUCGAUGACGGUACCCGCAGAAUAAGCACCGGCUAACUACGUG
rnacentral:rRNA from 1 species